UACAGAGACUGCAAGCGUUAUUCGGAUUCACUGGGCGUAAAGGGUGCGUAGGUGGCCAGGUAAGUUCGGUGUGAAAGCUCGGAGCUUAACUCCGAAAUGGCAUUGAAUACUAUCUGGCUAGAGGGUCGGAGGGGAGACUGGAAUUCUCGGUGUAGCAGUGAAAUGCGUAGAUAUCGAGAGGAACACCAGUGGCGAAGGCGAGUCUCUGGACGACUCCUGACACUGAGGCACGAAAGCCAGGGGAGCAAACAGG
rnacentral:rRNA from 1 species